rnacentral:rRNA from 1 species
UGCGCCUUGCCAGCCCGCUCAGAAACUCAAAUGAAUUGGACGGGGGCCCGCACAAGCGGAGGAGCAUGUGGUUUAAUUCGAUGAUACGCGAGGAACCUUACCUGGGCUUAAAUGCUUAAUGACGUACUGGGAAACUGGUAUUUCUUCGGACAUUUUGCAAGGUGCUGCAUGGUUGUCGUCAGCUCGUGCCGUGAGGUGUCGGGUUAAGUCCCGUAACGAGCGCAACCCCUAUUGUUAGUUGCCAUCAGGUCAUGCUGGGGACUCUAACAAAACUGCCCGCGUAAGCGUGGAGGAAGGUGGGGAUGACGUCAAAUCAGCACGGCCCUUACGUCCAGGGCUACACACGUGCUACAAUGGCCGGUACAGAGGGCAGCCACUUGGUGACAAGGAGCAAAUCUCAAAAGCCGGUCUCAGUUCGGAUCGGAGUCUGCAACUCGACUCCGUGAAGUUGGAUUCGCUAGUAAUCGUAGAUCAGCAAUGCUACGGUGAAUACGUUCCCGGGCCUU